rnacentral:rRNA from 1 species
UGGGGAAUAUUGCACAAUGGGCGCAAGCCUGAUGCAGCGACGUCGCGUGGAGGAUGAAGGUUUUCGGAUUGUAAACUCCUGUUAAACGGGAAGAAAGAACUGUGCCUAAUAAGUACGGGAGAUGACGUUACCGUUAAAGAAAGCACCGGCUAACUUCGUGCCAGCAGCCGCGGUAAUACGAAGGGUGCGAGCGUUAUUCGGAAUAACUGGGCGUAAAGGGCGCGUAGGCGGUUUUCUAAGUUGACGGUUAAAAGCCAUGGCUUAACCAUGGAGAUGCCGGCGAUACUGGAAUGACUAGAGGGUAGUAGAGAGGAGUGGAAUUCUCGGAGUAGCGGUAAAAUGCGUAGAUCUCGAGAGGAACACCGAUGGCGAAGGCAGCUCCUUGGGCUACAUCUGACGC